rnacentral:lncRNA from 1 species
AGUAAUAAAUAUAAAAUUAAUGUUUAGGUGUCUUAAUCGGAAAUGCUGAUCUAGGACUAUUUUGUGGAAGUACAAGUUAUCCUGGAAUUCUUCCGCCGGCCAACGGAACUGUUAGCAAUGAGAAUGCUGUGACUAUCAAUUUUAGGAGUGACAGUGUGAUUGAAUACCAAGGUUUCAACUUAACAUACACUUGCACUGGGAAAACGGACUCAGAAAGUGGGGAAUCGGACUCAGAAAGUGAAUCAGAUGAUUAAAACAUAUUUGUCUUCACCUGAGUCAAAAUCAGACGACAGAGAUGACAACAAUAUCCAGAUGACAACAAUAUAGAAUUUAGCUGAAGUUUGUGUAAGCUUCUAAAGCUUAAAAUUACUUAAUAAAGUAUAAUUGCAUCUU